CACCAUGUUGGCCAGACUUUUAUAAAUUUCAUAAAAUCUUCAGAAUGCAUUAAUAACUUUUUUUUUUUUUUGAGAUGGAGUCUCACUCUGUCACCAGGCUGGAGUGCAGUGGCACCAUCUCCACUCACUGCAACCUCCGCCUCCCUGAUUCAAGCAAUUCUCCUGCCUCGGCCUUCCAAGUAGCUGGGACUACAGCAUGUGUCAGCACGCCUGGCUAAUUUUUGUAUUUUUAGCAGAAGCAUGAUUUCACCAAAUUCGUCAGGUAUUUCAGGACAACUAGGAGGGGGCGCGUGUCCGCCGAGAAACUGUGAGCAACAGCGUCUGUGCUGAGCCCUGGCGCCACCAGAGGGCGCACGUACCCACUCCUGACCAACUUCCUUCUGAGGUGUCAGAAGCGCAAGGAGCUUUAUGUUCCUCAGGGCAGCAGGAAGGUCGUGUCAACUUGGUGUCGUUUAUUGGAAGGAACGCCAGUAGCUCCUGAUGGCAGAUGGGAAAAGAAGAGGUGACUCUGCCAUCUGCUGCUUACUGAUGGAUCUUGCUUGGUUACCCUGGCUAGAAUGCAGUGCCACAAUCGCAGCUCACUGCAGCCUCGACCUCCCAGGUUCAAGUGAUCCUCCCACCUCAGCCUCCUGAGUAUAUCAGACUACAGAAACAUCAUCCUGGCCAGGAGUGGUGGCUCACGUCUGUAAUCCCAGCAUUUUGGGAGGCCAAGGUAAGGGGAUCACAACGUCAAGAGAUCGAGACCAUCCUGGCCAACAUGGUAAAACCCCAUCUCUACUAAAAAUGCAAAAAUUAGCUGGGCAUGGUGGUGCACACCUGUAGUCCCAUUUACUCGGGAGGCUGAGGCAGGAGAACACUUGAACCCAGGAGGCGAAGGUUGUAGUUAGCCAAGAUCGUGCCAUUGCACUCCAGCCUGGUGACAGAGCGAGACUCUGUGUCAAAAAAUAAUAUAAAAGAAAAGAAAAAGAAAAAAAGAAACAUCAUCCUAGAACUGCUGUAAAAAGAUGAACCAGGGCCAUGGAGGGCAGAUUGAAGGAGAGAUGAGGCUAGAAAAGAUGAGGACGAGCAGGCAUUUGCUUUAUUAGCAGAAAAACAACUUAAAAGAAAAGACUAAUGAUAGGAGGGCCUGAAAUAGAGCAGGUACAAGGAGAGUAGCGGAUUGGUGGAGGCAUCAUAGAGCAAGGGGAAAUGAGGGAAGUCAGUUGGGGAAGCCCGCUAUCUGAUUCUGUCUUUGGAAGAAAAUACUGAAAGUUAAGAUAUUUCAAAUUAGUCAACCCCAAACAUAUGAAGUGUUUACCAAAAUACUGUGUGUCAAGGUUGUAUGUACAGGAAUGUGUGAAGCCUCCCUCUGGGGUAUCCAGCAGCAGUGCUCUUUGCAGCUCUCAAGCCUGUUUAGGACCUGGGCUCGUCACCUCUCUGCCCUCAUUUCUGAUCACUGGACCUUUGAAGGGAGCUGGAUUUCCCCGUUAGCUUAUCUGCAAUGACCAUUUGAUAACAGACAAUAGUCAUUGCAGUGGUGCAAGGAAAAGUAGACAACGCCUUCCACAAACAAUAUUCUGUAGCUCAACAAAAGGGACUAUAGAGCAGAACAAUAUUUAAUUCAAUUUAUCCACCCAUCCAUCUUUUCAUUCAGGUAUUCAGUUUCUAGUCAGUAAAUAUUUGCUAAGGACCUGUCCAUUCCAGUGUUAGCCAAGCAGGGUGCUGGGAACCAAGGAUGAAAAGGCCUUUGAAGAAUUCCCAUUCCAUAUCCCCUCCUGCAGAUUCCAGCCUUCAAUUCCUCCAGUCGGGCAUUCCUGCCUGACAACACUCUAGAUGGAGCAGACUCCACAUGACCAUCCUCAACCCCUUCCACCUCUCCAUUUCCACGUAGUUAAUUGGCCAGUUGUCUUCACCUUCUAUCUUCAGUUCUCACUCUUUACUCCUUAAAUGACUGAACUCUGAGUGCCCAUCACUGCUGCAGCUUAUGAAGACCAAAUUCAAUGAAUUCUGUGUGUGUGUGUGUGUGUGUGCAUGUGUGUGUCUGUGUGUGUCUGUGUGUGUGUGUGUGUGUAUGAGAGAGAGAGAGAAAGAGAGAGACAAAGAGAGUUGGAGUCUUACUCUGUUGCCCAGGCCGGAGUGCAGUGGUGCGAUCUUGGCUCACUGCAACCUCCGCCUCCUGGAUUCAAGCAAUUCUCCUUCCUCAAUCUCCUGAGCAGCUGAAAUUAUAGGCGCCCACCACCAUACCCAGCUAAUUUUUGUAUUUUUUAGGAGAGAUGGGAUUUCACCAUGUUGGCCAGGCUGAUCUUGAACUCCUGACCUCAGGUGAUCCACCUGCCUUGGCUUCCCAAAGUGCUGGGAUUACAGGCAUGAGCCACCACACCCAGCUCAAUGCAAUCCUUUUAAUGCCUACCCAACACCAUUUUGGGGAAGCAUUUGACACUGUUAAUAACUCCCUCCUUCAGACUCAUGUCUUGUUUCCACACUGAGUUCUCCCAGUGCCCCCUCUCCCUCUCAGUUCCCCUUUUAGGCUUUUUCUCCCACGCAUGUCCUUUAACUGCUAGUGUUCCCUAGUGUUCUGCCUUCAGCUCUGUCCCUGGGUGAUCUAGUCUCCACCUUAACAUAGCCUCAGUUGUUACCUAUAAGUUGUGGAUCCCCAAUCUAAGCCUGCAUCUAAGCACAGACAUGUCCCAUAGCCUAUUGGACAUCUCCAGUUGGGUAUACCUUGUUCAUUUCCUCACUUAUAACAUGGUCUUUUAACUUAUCUGUCUCCAACCCAGGCCAUAGGUCUCUUGUAUACUAUUGUAUCUCAUAGUGAACUCUAAACAGAAACUCAGUGAACAAUUGAGGAAUGAAUGAAUGAGAACUUGUCCAAGAGGAACCUGUCCACGGGCUGCUUAGUAUCCUGAAAAGAAAUUGUGAUAGAUUAUCUCAGAUUUUAAAAAACACAAGAACUGAAAUAAGUUGAGCAAAUCAGACUGAGCCAUUUAGGAAUUACAAAAUGGGGAACUGUUAAGAAAAUCUGUAGUUAGUGAUGGGCCAAAAGCUGGACAUGGUGGUUGAGAUGCGCCAUAGCAACUAUGGCUGUGUUUACAUGAAAAUUAUGAGGAAACAGAAACUGUGGUUAAGCAGAGAAGAACAUAGAGCAGUUAUACAGAAAGAAGCAAUGAUGUCAAGACACAAUGAAGCAAAGAGAGCAGCUUACUCCAUCAAAGACUGUGUCUGGAACAGCCCUUGCCCUACUUUACCUGACAUGAAAGCUGAGCCCACACAGCAGCUCCUCAGGAAGUCUCCCUGACCAGCAGUGUUUGGAGGCAGAAAUCAAUGUUCUCUGAAAAAAGGAUCAUAAGCUUCUUUCUAGCCCUGAAUGCCAAUUCCACCUAACACACAUUGUAAGAAUUCAGAGGCCAGGCGCAGUGGCCCACACCUGUAAUUCUAGCACUUUGGAAGGCCAAAGUGGGUGGAUCAUAAAGUCAGGAGUUCAAGACCAGCCUGGACAGCAUGGAGAAACCCCAUCUCUACUAAAAAUACAAAAAUUAGCUGGGAAUGGUGGCGUGUGCCUGUAUUCCUAGCUACUUGGGAGGCUGAGGCAGGAGAAUCACUUGAAUCUAGGAGAUGGAGGUUACAGUGAGCCGAGAUCACGCCACAGCACUCCAGCCUGGGCAACAGAGCAAGACUGUUUGAAAAAAAAGAAAAGAAAAGAAAUGAUGCACUUGUGACAAAACUUUCCAUAGCCAGUUUCCCAUUAUGUUCACUUUUAACAUCACUACCCCGAGCACCCUCCCAGCCCCCAAGGGAAGGGAGAAAGGAAAAAAUAAAUACAAAGCAUAUGCAAGGUGGGGAUGGGAGGUCCUCCUGCUCUUUUUCUGAAUGUCUGAGGCAGCAAAGGUAGAAAUGUGAACCUCUGGUGAGCGAGCUGAGGAAUAAACAGGCUGGGAUGUGAGUGUGGCUGGGAGUAUGAUGGGGUGAUGUAGGUGUGGAACAGGAAAACCAGUAUUGCAGUGUCCUCUUGGCUCACCCACUUCAUUUUUGUAACUGAGGGAUUUUACAUUGAUUUUUUAUGUGUGUGUAUCUUGCAUAGACUGCAAGAUACACAUGUUCUCAUAAAACUUUAUGAGAACCUUAAAAAAUGCUUUUAUUUUUGAGAUAGGGUCUUGCUUUGUCACCCAAGCUGGAGUGCAGUGACAAGGUCAUAUCUCACUGCAGCCUUGACUUCCUGGAUUCCAAUGAUCCUCCUGCCUCAGCCUCCCAAGUAGCUAGGAGUACAGGCACAAGCCACCACACCUAGCUAUUUUUUCUUUUUCUUUUUUUGUAAAGAUGGGGUUGCCCUGUGUGCCUAGGCUGGUCUCAAACUCCUGGACUCAAGCGAUUCUCCCACCUCAGCCUCCCAAAGUGUUGGGAUUAUAGGCAUGAGGCACUGUGCCUGGCCUAAACUCUUUUUGAAAAAGAAGAAAUACAGGCUUGUGAUGGAUUGUUAAAAGCUGUAAUAAAGACUGCACUCUGACCAGGUGUAGUGGUUUACGCCUGCAAUCCCAGAACUUUGGGAGGCUGAGGUGGGCAGAUCACUUAAGGCCAGAAGUUUGAGAUAAGCCUGGCCAACAUGAUGAAACCCUGUCUCUACCAAAAACACAAAAAUUAUCCAGGUGUGGUGGCGUACAACUAUAGUUCCAGCUACUCAGGAGGUUAAGUCAUGAGGAUCACUUGAACCUGGGAGGUGGAGGUUGCAGUGACCCGAUAUUGUACCACUGCACUCCAACCUGGGCAAUAGAGCAAGACUCUGUCUUCAAAACAAAACAAACACAACAACAACAAAAAAAACAGCGCUCUGAUUUCAUUUCUUAUAUAUUUUGUCUAAUGUGAAAGGAAGGAUUACAUGGUGUAUGCCUGGAUACCCAAGUCCCAAGUGUUUCCCUAAUUUCCUCUGAUCUUUGGGCUAGUUGAACUGCCUCCUGUUGUCUCUCAUGGCACCCUGUGAUUCCCUCACACUGUAUUGUUGUUUACCCUAUACAGACUGUAAACUCCCAGAGAUGAAGACCAUGCUGUGUUCCCAUUAAUCAUGUAGAGCCUGGAAUACAAGAGGCCUUUAGCAAUGUUUGUUGAAUGAAUGCGUGAUAUAAUUAGUAAAUACAUUUGUGUCAACAAGAAA